GGACAUUCUACCUUUGUUCAGAUGUGGUAUUUAAGCUCAAAUCCUGGUCUGAGCUAUACUGCAUGUGUAUAGUGUCUGGCUGUGUGCCUUGAUGCCCCUGACCUUGCCUUGGCUUCCCUGCUUGACCUCAGACCUACCUCAUCAUGGAAAACUUGUCUGGAAGAAGCGGAGGAAAAAAUGCAGCAACUCUCAGGUGAACUCCCUGGCAUAGCCAGGUGUGGAGGAGCACUACCACUGCCAUCAUCUCGGAAGAUGGUGGUGCGCUUCUUGCUGCAGGACACCAGUGCCCCUUUUUACCUCAUUCUAUUAAGGAAGCUCUGUGGAAAUCUUCCAGGAUCUAUGUCGACUACUAGAGCUGGUGUGAAGUUAAAAGUAUGGGCAGCAGUGAUCCAGACAGCUGGUGUUUUGGAAAGAAACCUAUAACACCAAAUUGUUAAUACCUGUCAAACUGGGAUGAUCAGAAAAUGCAGUAGAGGUAGGAAUGAGCCUGCAAAUCCAGCUUCCUCAAUGACACACCCAAGGGAAUAUUUAAGGCAUCCACUCUUGGCCACAGCUGAUGAGGAAAUACCAUGCUGAUGCAUCUUUUGCCUGAUAGAUCUAACUGCUCUUGCAGGUCUGCUGUGUGUGUGGUAAACAUGCCCAACUGUGCUGUGAAGCUGGAGGCGGAGCUUCAGAAAGUUAUUAUUUUGGUCCUUUCUUUGGAACGCUUCCUCCAGCGCAUGAGGGACUCUGAAUCACCUAGAACUGCUCUGUGCUGCAGGGACUUGGUAAGACUACCUUACCAAAGCAGUAAGGUGCAUUCCUGAUGCAAAUGAGAACAAGUUGGUAUUGUUUUAACUUUAUGGAAAUAUUCUGACAGUACAGAACGUAAAAAGGCCUCUGAUGAACAACCACGUCGUAAAAUGAGCUCCAGAAAGUUUACAUCUGUGUUGAACUGAUUUAAUUUAAGCAUAUAUUCCUUAAGAAAAUAAUUAAAUGAAGUUUUCUCAUUUACAUAAUUCCCCAGACAGGAGGUAAAAUGUGCAGAAGCUGUCACUAGCACUGCAGCAUGCAGACAUCAUUAUUUCAGACUGGCUUUUAUUUUUUUCCUCUGUUCUUUGAUUGAAAACUGCCAAAUUUCACUCAACCACCAGUUUUUAUAUUAAAUGCUGGAAAAGCAAACUUUAUUAUCCAAAACCAAAAUGCACCUGUCUGUAGGAAAUGCUGGAACAACUGCUGCUUUCUGAUUUUAAACAAUUUUCUUACUCUAUACUGAAACUGUAACUUCCAGUAUAGCACUGUGAGGAUACUUAACACAUUGGAGCUGAGUAGAACUACAAGCAAGACAAAUUAACAUGUG
rnacentral:lncRNA from 7 species